UCCUCAGACAAGGCAGGAAGGCAGCUCUUGGGCCUCACUGUCAAGCACAGGAAGCGACUGGAUUCCACUUGCCCGGUGUAGGGAUGACAGCAGGUAUUGAGUGGGACUGCAGGCCUGACAUCCUUAGCUCCUCCACACCCAGGACAGCCCGGCUGUCAGCACAGGGCAGCAGAAAGGACAGGGGACAAGCUCCAGGUGUGGGCGAGUCCCAGAGCAGCCCGGGGAGAGUGUCACUGUGUGGGUGCUGGCGUGGGGGCAGGAGCACACCACAUGCAGUUGCACGGGGGACUGAAUCUGAGGCUUUGGGGGAAGCAUCCAAGCCCCAGGGUGUGUGUGAGGGGGUCCCCCACAUGAGCAAUUCCUCAGGCCCAGCAAUGGCUGAUUCCCUCUGCUCGAGGAGAAAUCUCAUGUGAGGAAGGUGGAGUCAGGUCAGCUCCUCUCCAAUUACCCAGAAUGGGUGAGAGUUGAAGAUCUAGAAACAGAUUGCUGAGGCAGGAGAACAAAUGGUGACCCCUGCGCCUGCCCACGUUCCUGGAGGAAAACAGGAGCCAGUAGAGAGUGAGCUGACUCGGUGUGACUCCCUUAACAUUGACACAAAAGAGAAACUAUCAUAGGUCAUGGGUACCAGCAUCCCCAGUUCUCAUCAGGAAGCAGUACCCCAGGGCACAUGUCCCACAGACUGCUGAAAGAGAUCUUGCUCAGGUAAGGGGACCACUUCACAGCUCCUGCUGAGGGGCAGAGCCCAGGUGGGAAGCCAAGGAUGCAGCAAGCAAGCUCAUCAUCCCUGCGCAUCAGUUUGGUGUUAGGGUUUAGGAGCCUGUGAGUUGCCCACUCCCCACAAAGCCCCCCUAACCUUCAGCUUGCCACAUUCAAGACCCUCCACAUAGUGUCCGGUUGGCUACAUCUCUGUUCCUAAGGGUUUCCCAGGAUGAGGGGGUGCAGGAGCCCCCCAGAAGUGCCCAUCCUCUAACCAACUGGGGGCCAGCUAAGCAGACAUCUUGGUCAAGCCUCAGCCCGUAGACUUGUGCUCUUGUGGCAUAAGAUGAGCCUCUGGGAACCAACUCGAGACCUACUGUUUGGGAGUUCGCCGGAGCAACGAGCCCCUUCUGAGGCCUCUAAGCUGCUGAGCUCUGCAGGAUUGAGGUCAUGAUCCCUGCCAUGUUCCAGAGGCUUCACAAGAAGAUGAAGGGACCCAGGAGGAGAUUGUGGGUCCAUGGGAACUGUCAGGCCCCAGAGAACCUCCUAGCCCAUGCUGGAAGAGAAGGCCAUUCCAUCUGGGAAUCACAUGGCACUGGGUGGAGAGAGAACCGACUGGGCCUGACGCCUUGCAGAACCAGCAUCCAGCCUGUGUCCAAAGUGCUCCUGGAACCACAGAAUGUUUCAUGCCUCCAACCCUGCCCCCUCUGUCUGUCUGUCUGUUUGUCCAUCUGUCCAUCUGUC